rnacentral:tRNA from 1 species
GCCCUCGUAGUUCAAUGGAUAGAACUGAAGUUUCCUAAACUUCCAAUACAAGUUCGAUUCUUGUCGAGGGUA